rnacentral:misc_RNA from 1 species
UUUCUUCAAGUCUUGUUUGUUGAUUCAGUGCAGCUGUUUGAAUUGGGAAGCUGUCUGUAAUUUUGUGUCAUUCUCAAAUAAUUAUUCUAUUUUAAAAGCAAAAUCUUUCUUUUGGAAAAAAAUAUUUAUUGUGCGAAGUAUUCUUCUAAAGAAUUUGUAUCGACACUGAUACAACUUUUAUAAUAUUAUAUUCGUAAUAACCCUGUAUGGCUAUCAAAACGUUUUUAGAGUUCAGUUCAGAGUAUGGAAUCUUGAGCUUAAAUCUCAUUACGCUAUAAUAUAUUUCCAGAAUUACUCAUCUUAAAUCCUCUUUUUCUUGUUAUUGAGUUUUUUCAUAGCAAUGACUUCAAAGAAAAAAGAAGCAGCAGCAGCUGCGGCGGCAUCCAGCUCAGACUCGUCAUCAAGCAAUACAUCGUCAUCAUCAUCGACGUCGUCGACAUCAUCCGGAUCCGACUCGAGUUCAUCCGACUCUGACAAUUCAUCAACAAGCGCCAACAAGAGUGCAGCCGUCUCCACCGACUCAGAUUCAAAGAAAAAGACAGCCCCGGCUAAGAAGAAAGUCAAUCCACCCCCCGCAAACAAGACUAAAACAGAAACUAAGAAUGAACCAGUCGCUUCCAGUGAAGUGGUACCACCGCAAAAGAACGUCAAGGAGAAAGUGGUGCCGAAAAGCAAGCAGAUAGCUCAACAGAAAGUAUCUGCCGUUUAUUCGUCAGAAUCAGAUGAUGGUAAUGCAAACACAAAGACUAAUACUAAACGCAAAUCUCCGACCAAACCGAAAGCAUCAGCUACAGUAACACCUGUCACGAAAACUGCCAGACCUGCUCCCAGAGUUCUAGCCAAAAAGCCUGUGGCGGUCGUCAAAUCAAACACUAAGGCCUCCAAUGUGAAGGAUACAAAGUCCAAGAUUGAAGCGCAGAAAAAGUCGAAGACCAAGAGUAUUUUCAGCCCGGACAACAGUAGUGAAAGUGACGGCCACAACGCUACUCCACCUCCGCCCAAGUUGACUGCCAUGAAGACGGUGGCAACUAGCAAGGCGGCCGCAGCUAUCAAGGCCAAGCCCAAGGGCAAGAAGGAAUCCAUGUCCACUUCCGACAAGUCCAGGGCCAGUUCCGUCUCAUCCAACUCUUCUCAAGGCAGUGGUGCAUCUUCAGGCAGCAGUUCGGAUUCGGACUCGAGUGGGGGCGAAUCGGCGACCACCAGCCGAGUGAAAACAGCGUCGUCGCCGGCGAAGAGUCGCUGUGUAGGCCGGCCGAGAAAGACGCCGCCUGCAGCUGCCUCCGCCUCCGCUGCCUCCGCCCCCGAUCAAGGAAGCGGUAGCGAGCCACCAGUAGCCGCCUCCGCCAUUCUGACGCGCAAGCUGACGCGCUCGGUCAGCGCACGCGGCAGAAGCAAACAUCUCACCGGUCGAACUGCCAGUGAUUCCGAGUCUGAAGCAGAAUCAAAGUCUACGUUGACCAAGUCGCCGGUGAAGAAGGGGGCAGGCCCCAAGGGGCCGGCGUCGCAGCGCAAGCCGAAAGGGGCACGAGGCUCGGCCGAGUCUGGCCAAUCGCUGCUCAACGAGGUACGCAAGUGUCCCGUCGAUGGUUGCGAUUCGUCCGGCCAUCUCUGCGGCAAACUCGACAAGCACUUCACCAUUGAGGCGUGUCCCGUCUACCAUAAUCGAACGCCUCAGGCUUGUAAAGAAGCAGUUAUUGAGCGAAAGAAACGCGAAGAAGAGCGCAAAAAAGCAAUAGCGAUGCUGAAGCCGACGCAUGCAAGCAACCCGACGCCAGAGCAGAAGGCUUACCGCCAGAAAGUCAAAGAACUGAAGUCGGUGCACGAAGAGGGCAGCAGCGGCAGUGAACGAGAGAGAAACAACAACAAUAACAACAAUCCGAACAAAGAGAAAGAACCUCUGCUCUACAAAUUCGCCCCCAAAUAUGAUCUGAAAAUGUUCCAGGAGGCUCAGGCUAUUGUUAGUGAGAGCAUUGAGGAAGAACUAUCAAAACUGCCUAGUACAAAGGGAACAAAGUACAUUGAGAUGGGCAAGUUUGAGAUGGAAGUCUGGUACCAAAGUCCUUACCCUGAUGACUAUGCUCGCUUGCCCAAGCUGUAUCUGUGCGAGUACUGCCUCAGGUACAUGAAAAGUCGAGCGAUUCUCAACAGGCAUGCGGUCAAAUGUGUGUGGCGACAUCCUCCAGGCGAAGAGGUUUACAGGAAAGAUAAAAUAUCAGUAUGGGAAGUUGAUGGCAAGCGUUACAAGCCCUACUCACAAAACCUGUGUCUUCUGGCCAAGUUCUUCCUCGAUCACAAGACGCUGUACUAUGAUGUUGAGCCGUUUCUCUUCUACGUCAUGACCAUCAAUGACAACGAAGGAUGUCAUACGGUCGGAUACUUCAGCAAGGAAAAGAACUCGUUCCUCAACUACAACGUUUCGUGUAUACUCACGCUGCCACCAUAUCAAAGGCAGGGAUAUGGCCGACUACUCAUCGACUUCAGUUAUCUUCUUACACGGGUUGAAGGAAAAAUUGGUUCACCGGAAAAGCCACUAUCAGAUUUAGGUUUGAUCUCAUACCGGAGCUAUUGGAAAGAUGUUCUUCUUGAAUACCUGUGCAACUUGGGUGGAAAGCAGUUAUCUGUGAAAGAUAUCAGUCAAGAAAUGGCGAUCAAUUCCUACGACAUUGUCAGCACACUUCAAGCUCUCGGCAUGAUGAAAUAUUGGAAGGGAAAGCAUAUUAUCCUGAAAAAACAGGAUGUGAUUGAAGAAUACGUGGAAAGAUCGAAGAAACGAGGCCUGGUUUACAAAGAAAUCGAUCCCAGCUGUCUGAGGUGGACUCCAUUUGUACCCCCCUCUCCAUCCACUGCUUCAUGAAGAACCCCUUCGGCACAAGGUGAUGUGUAAAAUGAUGCUUCAUCUCUGUGCCAACUCAUCUGCUCAACAUCUUCAUCUGUGAAUGAAUUAAUCACGCUUAUAUCCGUUUCGCUUUGAACUCACACCAGAUGUAGAUGACAGGAUGAGAUUUUUUCAAACAGAAACAUUUUGAUUUCUAUCUGGAAAACUGGAAAUGUGAAAGCUUCUCACCAAUGUAUUCAGUCCGAGGCACCGGCUGGGUGGACAGGUCAUAGUAGCAGUGAUCAAAUGUAAUAGUAUUUCAUGUUUUCAUGACAACUCCAAGAAAUUAUGUGUAUUUUUACAUGUUGACGUUUCACCUGAUCAUAUCAACAAUACCUUAAUGAGUUGUAUGAAUGUUUGAUAAUGAGUAUUAAAAUCUAUGUAAUAAUAUUGUUGAAAAGAGACACAGUCAAUCCCUUUAAAUUUACCUUUUCACUUAUUUAACACCCAUACAAUAACCCACAACCUAUUAGCAAAUAGUUAUACAAUAUUGUUAUAAAAGGAAAAAAUAUUUUACGGUUGAAGCCAUAAAGUACUAUAAAUUUAUAAAGUACUGUAUGUUGUAAGAUUUUUUUAAUCCGUUUAGAUAAUUUUGAAAUUUUUACAGGGUUUGAAGAUUUUUGUUGGAGAUUUUUACUAAACUAAGAUGAAUAUAUCGAUGUAUGUAGUUCUAUGAAAU